rnacentral:rRNA from 1 species
AUACGUAGGGGGCAAGCGUUGUCCGGAUUUACUGGGUGUAAAGGGUGCGUCAGGCGGAUUUGUAAGUCAGAGGUGAAAUCUCACAGCUUAACUGUGAAACUGCCUUUGAUACUGCAAGUCUAGAGUAUGGAAGAGAGUGAUGGAAUGUCUGGUGUAGCAGUGAAAUGCGUAGAUAUCAGAUAGAACACCAAUGGCGAAGGCAGUCACUUGGUCCAUUACUGACGCUAAAGCACGAAAGCGUGGGUAGC